AUUGAACGCUGGCGGCAGGCCUAACACAUGCAAGUCGAACAAGUGGCGGACGGGUGAGUAAUGUCUGGGAAACUGCCUGAUGGCGGGGGAUAACUACUGGAAACGGUAGCUAAUACCGCAUACCAUCAGAUGUGCCCAGAUGGGAUUAGCUUGUUGGUGGGGUAACGGCUCACAAAGGCGACGAUCCCUAGCUGGUCUCAGAGGAUGACCAGCCACACUGUAACUGAGACACGGUCCCGACUCCUCCGUGAGGCAGCAGUGGGGAAGAUGGCACAAUGGGCGCAAGCCUGAUGCAGCCAUGCCGCGUGUAUGAAGAAGGCCUUCGGGUUGGAAAGUACUUUCAGCGUGGAGGCGUUACCCGCAGAAGAAGCACCGGCUAACUCCGUGCCAGCAGCCGCGGUAAUUC
rnacentral:rRNA from 1 species